rnacentral:rRNA from 1 species
GAUCAUGGCUCAGAUUGAACGCUGGCGGAAUGCUUUACACAUGCAAGUCGAACGGUAGAGGGGGCAACCCUCGAGAGUGGCGAACGGGUGAGUAAUAUAUCGGAACGUGCCCAGUCGUGGGGAUAACGUAGCGAAAGUUACGCUAAUACCGCAUACGAUCUACGGAUGAAAGCGGGGGAUCGCAAGACCUCGCGCGAUUGGAGCGGCCGAUAUCAGAUUAGGUAGUUGGUGGGGUAAAGGCUCACCAAGCCAACGAUCUGUAGCUGGUCUGAGAGGACGACCAGCCACACUGGAACUGAGACACGGUCCAGACUCCUACGGGAGGCAGCAGUGGGGAAUUUUGGACAAUGGGCGCAAGUCUGAUCCAGCCAUUCCGCGUGCAGGAUGAAGGCCCUCGGGUUGUAAACUGCUUUUGUACAGAACGAAAAGGUCUCUAUUAAUACUAGGGGCUCAUGACGGUACUGUAAGAAUAAGCACCGGCUAACUACGUG